rnacentral:rRNA from 1 species
CAGCAGCCACGGUAAUACGAAGGGUGCAAGCGUUACUCGGAAUUACUGGGCGUAAAGCGUGCGUAGGUGGUGGUUUAAGUCCGUUGUGAAAGCCCUGGGCUCAACCUGGGAAUUGCAGUGGAUACUGGGUCACUAGAGUGUGGUAGAGGAUAGUGGAAUUUCCGGUGUAGCAGUGAAAUGCGUAGAGAUCGGAAGGAACAUCUGUGGCGAAGGCGACUAUCUGGGCCAACACUGACACUGAGGCACGAAAGCGUGGGGAGCAAACAGGAUUAGAGACCCCGGUAGUCCCUGUCUCUUAUAC